rnacentral:rRNA from 1 species
AGAGUUUGAUCCUGGCUCAGAACGAACGCUGGCGGUGCGUUUUAAGCAUGCAAGUCGAACGGUAACAGACCUUCGGGCGCUGACGAGUGGCGAACGGGUGAGUAACACGUAGGUGAUCUGCCCAUAGGUUGGGGAUAUACUGUGGAAACACGGGGUAAUACCGGAUACGUUCUUGUUGUUCUGACGACAAGAAGAAAGGGGCUUCGGCCUCGCCUGUGGAUGAGCCUGCGGCUGAUUAGCUAGUUGGUGGGGUAAGAGCCUACCAAGGCGACGAUCAGUAGCCGGCCUGAGAGGGUGAUCGGCCACACUGGGACUGAGAUACGGCCCAGACUCCUACGGGAGGCAGCAGCUAAGAAUCUUCCGCAAUGGACGCAAGUCUGACGGAGCGACGCCGCGUGGGUGAAGAAGGCGGAAACGUUGUGAAGCCCUUUUAUAGAUGAGGAAUAAGUGUGGGAGGAAAUGCCUGCAUGAUGACGUUAGUCUAUGAAUAAGCCCCGGCUAAUUACGUGCCAGCAGCCGCGGUAACACGUAUGGGGCGAGCGUUGUUCGGAAUUAUUGGGCGUAAAGGGCACGCAGGCGGAUGAGCAAGUCUGGUGUGUAAGACCGCAGCUUAACUGCGGAAACGCACUGGAAACUGUUUAUCUAGAGUUCAAGAGGGGAAGCUGGAAUUCCAGGUGUAGGGGUGAAAUCUAUAGAUAUCUGGAAGAACAUCAGUGGCGAAGGCGAGCUUCUGGCUAUGAACUGACGCUGAGGUGCGAAAGCGUGGGGAGCAACAGGAUUAGAUACCCUGGUAGUCCACGCCGUAACGAUGUGCACUAGUGUCGGGUCUUAAGACUCGGUGCCGUACCUAACGCGUUGAGUGCAACCGCCUGGGGAGUAUGCCGGCAACCGAUAA